UACGAAGGGGGCUAGCGUUGCUCGGAAUCACUGGGCGUAAAGGGUGCGUAGGCGGGUCUUUUAAGUCAGGGGUGAAAUCCUGGAGCUCAACUCCAGAACUGCCUUUGAUACUGAAGAUCUUGAGUUCGGGAGAGGUGAGUGGAACUGCGAGUGUAGAGGUGAAAUUCGUAGAUAUUCGCAAGAACACCAGUGGCGAAGGCGGCUAACUGGUCCGAUACUGACGCUGAGGUGCGAAAGCGUGGGGAGCAAACAGG
rnacentral:rRNA from 1 species